GAUGAAGAACGUAGCGAAAUGCGAUAUGUAGUGUGAAUUGCAGAAUUCAGUGAAUCAUCGAAUCUUUGAACGCACAUUGCGCUCUCUGGUAUUCCGGGGAGCAUGCUCGUUUCAGAAUCAUCAAAAUCUCAAAGUACAUCUGGGUCUUAAGGGGUCCAGGUGGAGCUUUGGAGUUUGGACCUUGUUUUUAAUGCCCUGUGCUGUAAAACUGAUCCGAAAUUGAUUGUGUGCUCAUCUUGCCUAGCUGGUAGGAUUGCUCAAGUGCAACAGAUGUUUUUUUCAUUCGUUCACGCUUGGGUGAUGGUACCAUAUUGCUGGCUGGUGAUUGCAUUUACCAUUACUUACAAGUAAAGGGAUGUUUCCCUCUGCUUGAAGACUUGGUCUGAAAUCGAGCAAGAAAACCCGCUGAACUUAAGCAUAUCAAUAAGCGGAGGA
rnacentral:misc_RNA from 1 species